rnacentral:rRNA from 1 species
UACGGGGGGGGGCGAGCGUUGUUCGGAAUUACUGGGCGUAAAGCGCGCGUAGGCGGACCUGCAAGUCGGGGGGUGAAAGCCCCGAGGCUCAACCUUGGAACUGCCUUCGAUACUGCGGGUCUCGAGUCCGGGAGAGGUGAGUGGAAUUCCUAGUGUAGAGGUGAAAUUCGUAGAUAUUAGGAAGAACACCAGUGGCGAAGGCGGCUCACUGGCCCGGUACUGACGCUG